GUUUUUUAUUAUAGGUGCUUUCUGCCCGGUGUCGUGUUUCGUAAACGGCCGCGGUACUCUGACCGUGCAAAGGUAGCGUAAUCAUUUGUCCUUUAAUUGGGGGCUGGGAUGAAGGAAAAGUUGAGGGCUCUACUGUCUCUUUUUUCUUAUUGUAAUUUGCUAUUUUUGUGAAGAAGCAAAAUUAUUUGAGGGGGACAAGAAGACCCUAUUAAGCUUUACUUUUUUAAGCUCUUCUUGCGUUUUAUGUAGCGGAGAGUUAUAUAAAAGGUUUGGUUGGGGCGACCAAAGAAGAUUUAAAUCUUCUUUGUCUUCAAAACUUUAGGUUUAAUGAUGACCCAAGAUUUCUUGGUUGAAAGAAUAAGUUACUAUAGGGAUAACAGCGUAAUCUUUUCAUAAAGUUCUUAUUGAGGAAAGGGAUUGCGACCUCGAUGUUGACUUGUCUUAUCCUUUUUAGGUGCAGUAGCUGUAAGGGUUGAUCUGUUCGAUCAUUAAAAUGACACGUGAGUUGAGUUCAGACCGGUGUGA
rnacentral:rRNA from 1 species